rnacentral:rRNA from 1 species
UACGUAGGUGGCGAGCGUUGUCCGGAAUUACUGGGUGUAAAGCGCGUGUAGGCGGGAGGCCAAGUCUGCGGUGAAAUCGCUCGGCUCAACUGGGCGGGGUCCGUGGAAACUGGUCACCUGGAGGACGGUAGAGGCGAGUGGAAUUCCUGGUGUAGCGGUGGAAUGCGCAGAUAUCAGGAGGAACACCUAUAGCGAAGGCAGCUUGCUGGGACGUUACUGACGCUAAGGCGCGAAAGCGUGGGGAGCGAACAGG